CUUCAGGGAGCCCAGCCACAGCGGCCGGUCGCGGUCGCGGCCGUAGGUGGCGAGGACGGCCUGCGCCUC
rnacentral:antisense_RNA from 1 species